AGGUCAAGGUACUAAGGGCAUGCGGUGGAUGCCUUGGCGGCGGGAGGCGACGAAGGGCGUGGUAAGCUGCGAUAAGCCCCGGGGAGCCGCAAACAGGCGUUGAUCCGGGGAUUCCCGAAUGGGGAAACCCAACUGGUCGUGAGACCAGUUGCCGCCGAAAGGCGGUGCGACACCGGGGGAAGUGAAACAUCUCAGUACCCCGAGGAAAAGAAAUCAAACGAGAUUCCCUGAGUAGCGGCGAGCGAAAGGGGAGGAGCCUAAACCAGUGCAAUGCUCAAGCCCGUGGGCGUUGUUGCACUGGGGUUGUGGGGCGCAACCGGGCGAGGCCACGGACUCGCCGGGAAGUUACAAAUCCUCUAUCUAGCCGAAGUGCCUGGGAUGGCACGCCAGAGAGGGUGAAAGCCCCGUAGGCGAAAGGUAGAGGACUUCCUGGGUUGCGACCCCGAGUACCGCGGGACCCGUGGAAUCCUGCGGGAAUCAGGGGGGACCACCCUCCAAGGCUAAAUACUACCCGCCGUCCGAUAGCGCACUAGUACCGUGAGGGAAAGGUGAAAAGAACCCCGGGAGGGGAGUGAAACAGAACCUGAAACCGCAUGCCUACACUAAGUCGGAGCCCGUAAGGGUGACGGCGUGCCUUUUGCUUAAUGAGUCCGCGAGUUGCCGUCAGUGGCGAGGUUAAGCCGAACAAGGCGUAGCCGUAGCGAAAGCGAGUCCGAAUAGGGCGUUAGUCACUGGCGGCAGACCCGAAGCCGGGUGAGCUACCCCUGGGCAGGAUGAAGGUGGGCUAAACCCCACUGGAGGUCCGAACCGGUGGACAGUGAAAAGUCCUCGGAUGACCUGGGGGUAGGAGUGAAAAGCUAACCGAACCCGGUGAUAGCUGGUUCUCCCCGAAACGCAUUGAGGUGCGGCCUCGGGUGGUCUGUGCAGGGGGUAGAGCACUGAUAGGGCUAGGGGGGUAACCUCCGAACCCUGUCAAACUCCGAAUCCCUGCACAUAAAGCCCGGGAGAAAGACUGUGGGGGAUAAGCUCCAUGGUCAAAAGGGGAACAGCCCAGACCGCCGGCUAAGGGCCCGGAGAGGUGGCUAAGUGGUAAAGGAUGUGGCGCACCUAAGACAACUGGGAGGUUGGCUUAGAAGCAGCCAUCCUUUAAAGAGUGCGUAACAGCUCACCAGUCGAGGUGCGCUGCGCCGAAGAUGUAACGGGGCUCAAGCCACCCCCCGAAGCCGCGGGUCUGCACCGAUGAGGUGCAGGCGGUAGGGGAGCUUUCCGCUGUAGGGUGAAGGCAGACCCGCGAGGGCUGCUGGACGAGGCGGAAGUGAGAAUGCGGACAUGAGUAUGCGAGAGGAGAGUGAGAAUCUCUCCCCCCGUAAGCCCAAGGGUACCUGGGGAAGGGUCGUCCUCCCAGGGUUAGCCGGUACCCUAAGGUAAACCCGAAAGGGGUAGCCGAAGGGAAGCUGGUUAAUAUUCCAGCGCCACCUGCAAUCGAGGUGCAAGGGGUGACGCAGGAGGGUAGGCACCGAGGGUAAGUGGCAUUCCCUUCCAAGCGGUUAGGGCGUUGAUGGGUGUAGGUAAAUCCGCACCCGGAGCCUGAGCCGUGAUGGGGAGGGCCCGUGAGGGUCCAACGGUGCUGACCCCACACUGCCGAGAAAAUCCUCGUGCACCGUUUGAGAUUGCAGGUGACCGUUCCGCAAACCGACACAGGUGGGCGGGCUGAGAAGGCUCAGGGGAGCGGGAUAACCCUCGCCAAGGAACUCGGCAAGUUGACCCCGUAACUUCGGGAGAUGGGGUGCCGCGGUAGGGUGAACCCAGGGGAAGGGGCAACCCGGAAACUGGGGGAGCCCGAGGCGGUCGCAGAGACCAGGCCCUGGCGACUGUUUACCAAAAACACAGGCCUCUGCAAACUCGUAAAGAGGAUGUAUAGGGGCUGACGCCUGCCCAGUGCCGGAAGGUUAAGGGGAGGGGUGAGGCCGUAAGGCGUAGCUCCGACCCGAAGCCCCGGUAAACGGCGGCCGUAACUAUAACGGUCCUAAGGUAGCUGUGCUGCCUGCCUGCAGGGUAACCUGCAGGGCAAUACCCGGCUGUAUGCGGGAAAACCCUUAGAGCUCUUCCUACUUGGAGAAGGNUUUCUCCAAGUAAAAAUGGAAGAGAUUGGGCAACCCGCAGGAAACCCCGAAAGGGGGAUCCUCAGAGACUGUACGCCGGGCAUCCAGCUUUCCAGUGAGGUGCAGUGUGGUGGAACUUCAUCCAGAGUGGGUCGUCGGAUUUGUCGAUGGAGAAGGAUGUUUCUAUGUAGGUGUGAACAAGAACAAGACGAUGAGCGUGGGCUAUCAGGUGUUGCCUGAGUUCAGAGUCGUUCAGCACCAGCGAGACAUCCAGGUUCUUUAUGCGCUCAAGCGCUUCUUUGGAUGCGGUACGGUCAGAAGAAACCACGAAGACAGAUACGAGCUCAGGAUAAGGAAAAUCGAGUGCUUGAAAAAGGUCGUUGAAUUUUUCCAAAAGCACCCACUCAAAACAAAGAAGAAUGUUGAUCUCAAGAAAUUUAGCAAGAUCAUCAAAAUGAUGGAAGAAGGAAGGCACCUCACAAAGGAAGGCCUGAUAGAAAUCGUUCAGAUAGCUCUCGAGAUGAACACGGGAAAACGCGAUAAUCUGAGGCGAAUACUGGACGAUCUGACAGGGAAAGCUGGAUGAAGAUACAGUCCACCCUUGGUUCGAAAGACCAAGAUGAUGGUGAGCGAAAUACCUUGUCGGGUAAGUUCCGACCUGCAUGAAUGGCGUAACGACUGGGGCGCUGUCUCGGCGAGGGGCCCGGUGAAAUUUCAGUGAGGGUGAAGAUGCCCUCAACCUGCGGCUAGACGGAAAGACCCCGUGGAGCUUCACUGCAGCCUGGUAUUGGAUUCUGGCACACCGUGUACAGGAUAGGUGGGAGGCUGUGAACCCGGCUCGCCAGGGUCGGGGGAGCCACCGGUGGGAUACCACCCUCGGUGUGUCGGAAUUCUAACCUGAACCUGUGAAGAGCAGGUUGGGGACAGUGCCAGGUGGGCAGUUUGACUGGGGCGGUCGCCUCCUAAAGAGUAACGGAGGCGCGCGAAGGUCGGCUCAGGUGGGUUGGAAAUCCACCGUUGAGUGCAAGGGCAUAAGCCGGCCUGACUGUGAGGCCGACGGGCCGAGCAGAGGGGAAACCCGGCCCUAGUGACCCGACGACUCCGGGUGGAAGGGUCGUCGACAACGGACAAAAGUUACCCCGGGGAUAACAGGCUAGUCUCGCCCGAGAGUUCACAUCGACGGCGAGGAUCGGCACCUCGAUGUCGGCUCAUCCCAUCCUGGGGCUGAAGCAGGUCCCAAGGGUUAGGCUGUCCGCCUAUUAAAGGGGUACGUGAGCUGGGUUCAGACCGUCGCAAGACAGGUCGGUCCCUAUCGGCCGCAGGCGCAGGAGGUUUGAGGGGGGUCACCCCUUGUACGAGAGGACCGGGGUGAGCGGGCCUCUGGUGUACCGGCUGUCCUGCCAAGGGCAUUAGCCGGGUAGCUAUGCCCGUGAGCGAUAACCGCUGAAGGCAUCUAAGCGGGAAGCGCGCCCCAAGAUUAGACCUCCCAUCCCGUUAAGGGAGUAAGGCCGGUCCGAGAACAGGACCUUGAUAGGCCGGUGGUGUAAGCGCCGCAAGGCGUUGAGCCAACCGGUACUAAUCGGCCGAGGCCUUGACCUC
rnacentral:rRNA from 1 species